UUUCCUUUUCCUUUCCUUUCCUUUACGUUUUGUUUUCAUUCUUCUCCUCUUAGCCUAAUUGAUAUUGUUUACAGAUUUCAGCCGGUGACAUCGUCAUCAAUAAGUCGUUCAAUCAGUCAUCUUCGAUUUCCACCCAAACCCUUUUCACCUUUCCUUUCCAAGUGUCUUAAAAUUUAAAAUUUUCCCAAAUCACCUAUUUGAUUCGUCGAUCACUACCACCGCUCUAAUCCCUCUCCAAGUCCAAGUAAUUUGACAAUUUCAUAAAUGCACCCAUGGUCAGGACUCCACAUUUACCUCUAACGUAUGGAAGGUUUCUACAUUUAAUAAUCCAAUGAAGGCUUUUGGUAUGUUGAAUUGCUAUUCCUUUGUAUUUCGUAUGAACCAAUGAUGAGAUCUAAAGCCUACAAUUUUGCUGCCAAAGGGCGAGAGACUUCACAUUGGAUGGAAUGGAUGAUCCAGGGAAUUUAACACUUGAGGCUUUGCAUGAUACCACAAAAAUCAACUACUACAAGGGCUAUUUAGCAGAAUUGAUUAAAACAAUCAUUGAGGGAGCCAACGUGAUCGGGUACUUCCGAUGGACAUUGCUCAAUAAUUUCGAAUGGAGACUCUUUUGCUCUUUUUUUAUUUUUGGAUAGAAAAAUGCUAUGUUUUUUAUUGAUUGGUUGAUACAAAUAUGAGUUCUUUCGUAGUGUUUUUGGAGUUUUCCUGUACUUGAUUAUAUAGAAGAUAUGGUAUCUUUGCGAAAUGACAAAACUAGUUAGUUGUUUAGUCCACGUCA